AAAAUGGGAUAAAUCAGACUUGGUUCAUAUUAAGUGGGAAGACUCGGGUCGUAAACGAUUUAUGUCACUAGUAGAAAAUAAGUGAUGGGAGCCCCAAAUGGCAAGCGGUUUUAAAAAUCCGCUUGUCAUUUAGCCAAUUUUUUUUAAAAGUAAAACAAUAAUAUUAAUGGAAAAAUUGUCAAAAAUAAUACAAAUUUUCACUCGUCCGUUAAAAACAAGUCAACCUUUCGUUUUUUUCUUAAUAAUACAAACUUUAACACUAAUCUAUUUUAAACAGGUAUCAUUAAAUUGUAACCGGUUGCAGUAGGUAAAGCUGAUGACGUGGCAUUGACCGUUAGAUAUUACCCCUGUUUCUUUAUAAACGUUAGCCAAAUUUGAAAUUAACCCAAAAAAAAAACCUCCCUUCAUCCCUGUUCUUCUUAAACGUUUACUACUACUCCCCCCUCCCCCUAACAAUUUCUGCUUCUUUCUUCCUCCUUAAAUUCCAAUUUUUUUUCCUUUUUUUUUUCAAAAAAUUCAUCUUACUAAAUUAAAUCUUUGUUCUGUUGAAAUGGCUGGAAGGAGGCAAUCAUCAAUGGGGUCUGGGUCUUCUUCAAGCUUUACUAGGGAGGUAAAUCAAAAAAUUCGUUGCACUUGUGGUAAAGAUGCGGUUGUUAGAUAUGUGAAAAGGGGUCCAAAUGUUGGAAUGCAGUUCUAUGGGUGUCCUUUAUGGCCUGAUGUAGGACACACGUUGUGAGAUGUUUAGGUGGGUGAAUGAGAGUAAUUAGCCAAUGGAAGAUCUUCAAUAUCAAGUUUUGGAGAAGGAAACAAUAAUCUGUGAGUUGGAGAUGGAGCAAAAAUUCAGAGAUGACAAAAUAAAUAAAAAAUUACAAAUGAAGAAGGACAGUAUGGAAGAGGAUGUUCAGGAAAUGAAAAACGAAUUAUGCGAGAUGCGUAUAGAGAUGAUGAAGUGUUCGGGAACGAGAAAAAUUUGUCCAUCGCAUUGCUAUUUUCUUGGAUUUUUUUUUCUGUGGUGUUGUUUUAUGUCAAGCAGUUGAUUUUUAUGAUCUUAAUUAAAAGUAGUUGUUGUUUAGGUUCUUGAUAUUAUUGGUACUGUAAUGUAUUCUCAUUUGCAAGAAAUGAAAUUAAGGAGCUGCAUAAUGUUUUGAUAAAUUUGUAAUGUGUCAGCCAUUACAUUUGAAUAUAUAUAUUCAGAGCACCAUGGCUACAAAAUCUCAUUAACACAACUAA